AUGUCUAAAGACCCAAUAAAUUUUGAACAUUGUGUGGAAAAAGAACUUGAGCAUGUAGAAGGACAGCGUCAGACAGAGGAGAUUACACUCUCUGGAAUUCAAGUUACUUAUUUGCGCUUUGUGAUUUUGUCCAGAUAUGACCCUUUUGUGGCCGUAUACAGUGUUUCAGCUGAAUCAUAAUAUAAUCUGCAAAGUGUUCAAAAGACUACUCUGUGAAAUAG